GUCAGCCAGACAGUCGCCGCAAAGCCUCGCAAGGGGCAAUGGGGAGGAAAGUCCGGGCUCCGCAGAGCAUGAUGCCGGCUAACGGCCGGGCGCCGUGAGGCGACGGAAAGUGGAACAGAGAGCUGAACCGCCGAUGGCCGCGCCGCCUGUCGCAAGACGGACGGACGGAUCAGGCAAGGGUGAAAAGGUGCGGUAAGAGCGCACCGCGGACGUGGCAACACGGACGGCAGGCUAAACCCCAUCAGGAGCAAGACCAAAUAGGGGGGCGCUAACGUGGCUCGCGUUGUCCCCGGGUAGGUUGCUUGAGCCUGCCGGCAACGGCAGGCCUAGAGGAAUGACUGUCCAACGACAGAACCCGGCUUAUCGGCUGACUUC
rnacentral:RNase_P_RNA from 1 species